GAUGAAGAACGUAGCGAAAUGCGAUAAGUAAUGUGAAUUGCAGAAUUCAGUGAAUCAUCGAAUCUUUGAACGCGCAUUGCGCCCGCCAGUAUUCUGGCGGGCAUGCCUGUUCGAGCGUCAUUUCAACCAUCAAGCCCCAGGCUUGUGUUGGAGCCCUGCGGCUGCCGCAGCCUCCCAAAACCAGUGGCGGGCUCGCUAUCACACCGAGUGCAGUAGUUUACUCUUCGCUCAGGGCGUGUGGCGGGUGCUAGCCGUAAAACCCCCAACUUCUCAAGGUUGACCUCGGAUCAGGUAGGAAUACCCGCUGAACUUAAGCAUAUCAAUAAGCGGAGGA
rnacentral:misc_RNA from 1 species